CCGCAGAGUUGACCAACCAAGUCAUAUUCAGCGUAAAGACGUAACGCAAAAUAGUGGGAACGAAGUAAGCGUUCACCCAAGUCUCGUUCCAAUAGUAGACAGGAAUGACAGUCGGUAGAAUAAAACAAAAUAGAGGCAUCAGCAGACCUUCAUUUAUGUAAACUAGCCGAGAGAAGCAACAAGCAAAAAUUAACAUAAUUCAAAUUAAUAUUCAACAAAUGUAGUUCUAUCCUUUGUAUUUAUUUAUUACUUUUGUUUAUAUUCAUAUCGCCUGUAUAAAAUACAUAUAUUUCGAUCUAAGAUCAUUUCUUUUUAAUUAAAAAACAUCUAUUGAUUUUCGAUUGAUCUAGAAAAAUCUGGUUAUUUAAUAUACAACUUUUUCUCUCCGCUUUAUUGAAUCGCGAAAGGGAAUCGAUGAAGAACACUCACUUUUUCUGGAACAUCAAUAUAGGAUUGUUUCUCAGGUCACUGAGAUCGAGUCCUUUUCCUUUCUUAGCGAUGUCUGGGUGUUUCCUGCACAACAACCAGCCCACGUGCGCGAAGAAAAAUCCAUUCUUUGCAUUAUGGGGAUCCGCGUCCGUCUCGCUAUAUUUGUGGUGAAGUCUGUGAUCUCUGGCCCAAUCGAUAGCCGCAUCCUAUAACGAUAAAUAAAAAAAGAUGUAUUAAGAAAGGAAGAAGGAAAAAAUAUACAAAACGAAAACGAGAUCGCUUAUAAAUGGACCAAGAGUUGAACAACGCUAAUUU